rnacentral:tRNA from 1 species
CCUGGUGGAGCAGAUGGUAAAGCAUCUGCCUACAAUGCAGGAGACCGGGGUUCUAUCCCUGGGUCAGGA